UGAUCCAGCCAUGCCGCGUGAGUGAUGAAGGCCUUAGGGUCGUAAAGCUCUUUCGCCUGUGAAGAUAAUGACGGUAGCAGGUAAAGAAACCCCGGCUAACUCCGUGCCAGCAGCCGCGGUAAU
rnacentral:rRNA from 1 species